UUCCUGAGCGGGGCCGGCGGAGGCGAGGCCCGGCCCGCACCUGCGGAGCCCCGCGGAGCCCCCGCCCCGGGCCGUGCGGCGGAGGGGGCCGGGGCGGGCGUGGGAGCGAGGUGAGCGGCAGGGGAGGGCCUCGGCCGCCGCCCUGGCCGGCAUCCCCAGGGUGAAACACCGCCCAGAACGAGCCUGUGGGGGCAAACCCCCAUCGUCGUGCGGAGCGAGUGCAGGCGGCGAUCGGGCGCUGCGGCCGCGGGGAGGCCGGGCCGGGCACGGCGCUGCCCUCUGCGGGAGCGGCCCGUUCGGAGGCCGAGAGUGACUCCUGGUGACUCCCUCGGAGGCCUGCAGCGGGCCCCUGCUACGAGCUGGCCGCGGAGUUCGACACAUCGCUGAUACGCACCAUCGCCGCGGUAGCGACCGGAGGGAUUCGGCAACAAAACCCGCUCCUUCAUUUCCCUCCUUUUCCCAGCACCCCUCUUGGGAAAAGGCAUCGAACAGGACACAAGCUCAGCAAAACGCUGCCAGGCUGAAGGUGGCCCUGGCUCCUCUGCAAUGCUCAGACACAUCUGCCUGACCUCACUGGGGAGAUGACCUUCAGAAGCAAUCUGCUGUAGCAACAACACCUUCCAUCCUUCCAUCCUUCCAUCCAUCCAUCCAUCCAUCCAUCCAUCCAUCCAAGCCGGCCUGCACACAGCACAUCGGCUCAUCCAAGAGCAUGACAGCUAAAAGGGAGAUUCAGCACCAAUCUUGAACACAUGCAAGCAGGCAACACAGAUGUCAUCAACAAUGAAGCCAGGGCUGAAUUUCAAGCAGCCAGCUGGAUGGCUGGGCACGCUGCUGGGGGUGGCAAGCGGGAACCCAUCAGGGCACGUGCACCCAGAACGGCAAGGGAGGCUUUAGCCACGGAACUCAGCAGUGCUCUGGGCAGAUGUGUGGCCCAGGACGCCACAGGAAUGGUGGUGAAGACUGUUGGUUAGUUGCUGCACACAUGCCCCAGCUGUGUGUUUUGGCUCCCUGCUGCUCUUGCUGCCUCCCUCCCUGCCUUGGGAGGGCACAGGACCGCUGACCUAUGGGCUGUCCCAGACUAGCUGCAAUGGAAACAGCUGACAGGUGCAGCCUGCCAGGCACUGUGCAAAUAACAGAAGAACAGACAGUGCCUGCCACAGAGAGAUUACAGCUGACAGGAACAGAGACAUCAUGCAGGUACAGAGCUGGAGGGUAAAACCGCAUAGCAGAGGGAGAGCUCAGAAAGAAAGGCAGUCACAGAAUCACAGGAUGGCUGAGGCUGGAAGGGACCUCUGGAGGUCACCUGGACCUACCCCUGGCUGCAGCAGGACCUCUCAAACCUCCUGCUGCACAGCUGCUGGUAAGGAUUUUAUCACUGAAAGAUUUCAUCCCCUGUACCAAAUGUGAAAAUCAGAAUGUAGCAGUGAAAAUACAGAACCUGCCACAUAGCAAACCACUCCUCUGCUCCCUCUAGAAGCAGGGAAAUCCUGUUAGCCCUCAUGACUGACAUAGAAAAAAAUACCAAAAACCUUCUUGCAAAUACAGAUUUAUUUGGUUAGAGCCCUCUCACACACAAAUGGCAAAAGGUAUCAUUGGUAUAGUACACUGAGUAUAUCUGAAUAGCAGCUAGGUCCUUUAAUCUUGGAUUCAGUUGCUUUCUCUUUCCUCAAUAAACCUUCUCUCAAAACUUACCUUUAAUUUAAUGUUAGGCAUCCCUUCUUUCUCCCUUACUUUUUCUGACAGCUGUAUUGCAGAAGCAGAGUAAUCAAUCCCAGUGAGAUUCACAUAGCCAGACUUUGCCUAGACAGAAGCAGAGAAUCACAUCAGUCUGCUAUCAUUUGGCUUUUAUCCAGUAAGUGUACUCCAUAUCUCUAAUCUCUCAUCUCUAUUCCUCUUAAUGACAGUAAAAAAACCCCACUCUUCUACUCAUUUUUAGUCCUGUUACCACUGCAAGAGCUAGACAGCUGGAGAAAUGAGCUGAAAUAAUUCCAUUUUGCCUAAUUCUUCAUCAUAAGAACUGUUGACUAAAAGCUGGUUUAUGUCAACAAGUGGAAAACCGAGUAGAAUUGUUCCUGGCAGGGAACGGGCUCUCUUAUCUGCACCAGAAGUAACCUAGAAACCAGGAAUUUCCAGUGAUGAGAACAUGUGCUGAUGCCAGAUGCUUCAAAAUAAGAAGAAAACCUCCUUGACACUGACAUAACAUUGAGCAAUUACUUCGUUUAUAACCCAAAUUCUAAGAGCCAAAACAUGUAAUGUAUUUUAUUAGCACAGAAAUCCACUGCAAAACCUUGCAUUUUUUCCUGGUUACUCACACUAAUGUCUAUUUGCAUGCAGUUAUUUGUAUGCUACAAGGUUUUUGUAUCAACACUUUUCAG